UGGGGAAUUUAUGACAAUGGGGGAAACCCUGAUCCAGCCAUCCCGCGUGUGCGAUGAAGGCCUUCGGGUUGUAAAGCACUUUUGGCAGGAAAGAAACGUCAUGGGUUAAUACCCCGUGAAACUGACGGUACCUGCAGAAUAAGCACCGGCUAACUACGUGCCAGCAGCCGCGGUAAUACGUAGGGUGCAAGCGUUAAUCGGAAUUACUGGGCGUAAAGCGUGCGCAGGCGGUUCGGAAAGAAAGAUGUGAAAUCCCAGAGCUCAACUUUGGAACUGCAUUUUUAACUACCGGGCUAGAGUGUGUCAGAGGGAGGUGGAAUUCCGCGUGUAGCAGUGGAAUGCGUAGAUAUGCGGAGGAACACCGAUGGCGAAGGCAGCCUCCUGGGAUAACACGGACGCUCAUGCACGAAAGCGUGGGGAGCAAACAGG
rnacentral:rRNA from 1 species